UGGGGGAUAUUGCACAAUGGGGGGAACCCUGAUGCAGCGACGCCGCGUGGGUGAAGAAGCGCUCCGGCGCGUAAAGCCCUGUCAGCAGGGAAGAAGGUGACGGUACCUGACCAAGAAGCCCCGGCUAACUACGUGCCAGCAGCCGCGGUAAUACGUAGGGGGCAAGCGUUAUCCGGAUUUACUGGGUGUAAAGGGGGCGCAGACGGCUGUGCAAGCCAGGAGUGAAAAGCCCGGGGCCCAACCCCGGGACUGCUCUUGGAACUGCCUGGCUGGAGUGCAGGAGGGGCAGGCGGAAUUCCUGGUGUAGCGGUGAAAUGCGUAGAUAUCAGGAGGAACACCGGUGGCGAAGGCGGCCUGCUGGACUGCAACUGACGUUGAGGCCCGAAAGCGUGGGGAGCAAACAGGAUUAGAUACC
rnacentral:rRNA from 1 species